GACGGAGGAUGCAAGUGUUAUCCGGAAUCACUGGGCGUAAAGCGUCUGUAGGUGGUCAAAUAAGUCAACUGUUAAAUCUUGAGGCUCAACCUCAAAAUCGCAGUCGAAACUAUUAGACUAGAGUAUAGUAGGGGUAAAGGGAAUUUCCAGUGGAGCGGUGAAAUUCGUAGAUAUUAGGAAGAACACCGGUGGCGAAGGCGGCCCACUGGUCCGGUACUGACGCUGAGGUGCGAAAGCGUGGGGAGCAAACAGG
rnacentral:rRNA from 1 species